CUGAUUUGAGGAAAAAGAGAAAAAAGACUACAUAAGU
rnacentral:ncRNA from 1 species